rnacentral:lncRNA from 1 species
CUGCAUCGUGUGGUACUGAAAAGGUCUUGGGAGGUAGUAUCCUGGCCAGACAUCCACCCAACAAGUGGUAUUAGAGCAAGACGGUAUAAGACGCAGAUUGCAGCGGUGGUGAGCAAGACUAAAGAUGGAGAAGACAUGAUCAAUCAAGAUGGAGAUCAACAAGUUUGAUAGAAAGAGCAAUUUCUUCUUGUGGUAGGCAAAGGUGAAGGACGUGCUCAUCCAGCAAGGAUUGAUCGAUGCUCUUUAGUGCGAGGAGAAGCCGACCACUAUGAAGGUGCGGAAUUGAAAAUGACUACAGAUACAGACAGUGAGUACCAUCC